UUUUUCAAAUACAGCCUGCCGAAAAACACUAAAAGUAUCAUAAUAGUAGUCCAUAUAUGACUCUUGUGAAGUAUUCAAGUCGUAUGACGUAUUUGUGCGCCGAACAGACUGAAAUUUAUGUCCUUAAUAUUCACAGAAAAUCUUGUCAGAUGCCUCGAUUAAUGAACAAGUCGUUCUUUUAAGUUGAUUUUUUUUUUUUUUUUUUUUUUUUUUUCAGCGAAUCGGUUGAUCCAGUUCACACAACUGGUCUGUCGGGAUCUUAUCAUGACUUCUGAUCCAGUCACAGCCAACUAUCAAUCAGUAAAUAACAGCUUAAAUAUACGACGUUUUUGACACAAAGCUGUCAUAUAAAUUGGGAAUAGGCCUAUAGCACACAAGUGAAAUCUACCACUUUUUCUAGUGUUUAUCAUAGGUGUUUAUAUAGUUUUUUUUUUUUUCAGAACUGGAGCAACAUGAGGGUGCGCAUCUGAAGCGGAUGAAACAACGCUCGGCUAUCCUAAAUAAAGCGACGUGACUUGAGGAAUCCGCGCCGGUUGCCAUUUCGCCAG